AACGCGUAUCCAACCUUCCGUACACUCAGGGAUAGCCUUUCGAAAGAAAGAUUAAUACCUGAUGGUAUGAUGAGAUUGCAUGAUAGCAUCAUUAAAGAUUUAUCGGUGUACGAUGGGGAUGCGUUCCAUUAGGUAGUAGGCGGGGUAACGGCCCACCUAGCCGACGAUGGAUAGGGGUUCUGAGAGGAAGGUCCCCCACAUUGGAACUGAGACACGGUCCAAACUCCUACGGGAGGCAGCAGUGAGGAAUAUUGGUCAAUGGACGAGAGUCUGAACCAGCCAAGUAGCGUGAAGGAUGAAGGUCCUACGGAUUGUAAACUUCUUUUAUACGGGAAUAAAGUAUCCUACGUGUAGGAUUUUGUAUGUACCGUAUGAAUAAGCAUCGGCUAACUCCGUGCCAGCAGCCGCGGUAAUACGGAGGAUGCGAGCGUUAUCCGGAUUUAUUAGGUUUAAAGGGAGCGCAGACGGGAGAUUAAGUCAGUUGUGAAAGUUUGCGGCUCAACCGUAAAAUUGCAGUUGAUACUGGUUUCCUUGAGUGCAGUUGAGGCAGGCGGAAUUCGUGGUGUAGCGGUGAAAUGCUUAGAUAUCACGAAGAACCCCGAUUGCGAAGGCAGCUUGCUAAACUGUAACUGACGUUCAUGCUCGAAAGUGUGGGUAUCAAACAGGAUUAGA
rnacentral:rRNA from 1 species